GUCUUUUAGAUUUAAAUUAAAGGUUUAACCUGCCCAUUGGUUUAUUAAAAGGCUGCGGUAUUUUGACCGUACAAAGGUAGCAUAGUCAUUAGUUUUUUAAUUGAGAACUUGUAUGAAUGGUUGGAUGAAAUAUUAACUGUUUUAUAAAAAAUUUUAGAAUUUUACUUUUUAAUUAAAAGGUUAAGAUAUAUUUAAAAGACGAGAAGACCCUAUAGAGUUUUAUAUUUUUUUAUUUAUAUAGAAUUUAGAUUAUUUAUUUUUAUAGAUAAAUAUAUAUUUUAUUGGGGUGAUGAUAAAAUUUAAUAAACUUUUAUUAAUAAAAUACAUAAAUAUAUGAUUGUUUGAUCCAUUAGUAAUGAUUAUAAGUUUAAAUUACCUUAGGGAUAACAGCGUAAUUUUUUUUUAAGUUCUUAUUAAUAAAAAAGAUUGCGACCUCGAUGUUGGAUUAAGAUUAAUUUUAGGUGCAGAAGUUUAAAUUUUAAGUCUGUUCGACUUUUAAAUUCUU
rnacentral:rRNA from 2 species